AGGACGAACGUUGGCGGCGUGCCUUACACAUGCAAGUCGUACGCGAAAGGGGAAUCCAGCUUGCUGGGGACCCCCGGUAGAGUGGCGAACGGGAGCGUAACACGUGAGGAACCUGCCUCGGAGUGGGGAAUAACCCAGAGAAAUCUGGGCUAAUUCCGCAUGAUGCAGCGGCCCCGCAUGGGGACAGUUGUUAAAGACCGCCUCUGCUUGCAAGCGGUCGCUUCGAGAUGGUCUCGCGGCCUAUCAGCUAGUUGGCGGGGUAAUGGCCCACAAGGCGACGACGGGUAGCCGGCCUGAGAGGGUGUCCGGCCUCGAUUGGGACUGGAGACGACGGCCCAGACUCCUACGGGAGGCAGCAGUGAGGAAUCUUGCGCAA
rnacentral:rRNA from 1 species